rnacentral:miRNA from 1 species
AAUACAGAACAUCUAUUAAAUAUGACUUUCAGAUUAACAUCAGCUAAUUUUUUUAAACAUAAGUAUAUCCCAUGAAAUAUUUGGGAUAUACUUAUGCUAAAAAAUUAUUUGUUUAUCUGAAAUUCAAAUUUAGCUGGGUGUCCUGUAUUUU